rnacentral:misc_RNA from 1 species
GUAGGUGAACCUGCGGAAGGAUCAUUAUUGAAUAAACUUGGUUGGGUUGCUGCUGGCUCUCCGGAGCAUGUGCACACUCACUCCAUUUUUAACCACCUGUGCACAUACUGUAGGCCUGAAUGAACUUUGUCGAGGAAACUCGGUUUGAGAACUGCUCAGCUGUUCUUGUAUUUCAGGUCUAUGUUUUUAAACAUAUACUCCAUAACAAGUUAUAGAAUAUUAAUUAUGGGCCUUCUGUGCCUUUAAAACCUAAUACAACUUUCAACAACGGAUCUCUUGGCUCUC